rnacentral:rRNA from 1 species
GUGCCAGCCGCCGCGGUAAGACGAACCGUGCGAACGUUGUUCGGAAUCACUGGGCUUAAAGGGCGCGUAGGCGGGCUGCCAAGUCAGGGGUGAAAUCUUUCGGCCCAACCGGAAAAGCGCUUCUGAUACUGGCAGUCUCGAGGGAGGUAGGGGUCGGCGGAACUGGUGGUGGAGCGGUGAAAUGCGUAGAUAUCACUAGGAACGCCGGUGGCGAAAGCGGCCGACUGGACCUCUUCUGACGCUGAGGCGCGAAAGCCAGGGUAGCGAACGGGAUUAGAAACCCCCGUAGUCC